UACGAAGGGUGCAAACGUUGCUCGGAAUUAUUGGGCGUAAAGGGCGCGUAGGCGGCUGUACAAGUCAAAGGUGAAAUCCCUCGGCUCAACUGAGGAACUGCCUUUGAAACUGUACGGCUUGAGGCCGGGAGGGGGUAGCGGAAUUCCCAGUGUAGCGGUGAAAUGCGUAGAUACUGGGAGGAACACCAGUGGCGAAGGCGGCUACCUGGACCGGUUCUGACGCUGAGGCGCGAAAGCGUGGGUAGCAAACAGG
rnacentral:rRNA from 1 species